UACUUCAACCUAGAGCCCAGAACCGGUUACUCACUGAAGCUAAGCAGGGCUGCGCCCGGUCAUUACCUGGAUGGGAGACCACAUGGGAACACUAGGUUGCUGUUGGAA
rnacentral:rRNA from 1 species